GAUGAACGCUGGCGGCGUGCUUAACACAUGCAAGUCGAACGGAGUGCUCAUGACGGAGUUUUCGGACAACGGAUUGGGUUACUUAGUGGCGGACGGGUGAGUAACGCGUGAGGAACCUGCCUCGGAGUGGGGAAUAACACACCGAAAGGUGUGCUAAUACCGCAUAAUGCAGUUGGGUCGCAUGACUCUGACUGCCAAAGAUUUAUCGCUCUGAGAUGGCCUCGCGUCUGAUUAGCUAGUUGGCGGGGUAACGGCCCACCAAGGCGACGAUCAGUAGCCGGACUGAGAGGUUGACCGGCCACAUUGGGACUGAGACACGGCCCAGACUCCUACGGGAGGCAGCAGUGGGGAAUAUUGGGCAAUGGGCGCAAGCCUGACCCAGCAACGCCGCGUGAAGGAAGAAGGCUUUCGGGUUGUAAACUUCUUUUGUCAGGGACGAAACAAAUGACGGUACCUGACGAAUAAGCCACGGCUAACUACGUG
rnacentral:rRNA from 1 species